CCUACGGGAGGCUGCAGUGAGGAAUAUUGGUCAAUGGACGAGAGUCUGAACCAGCCAAGUAGCGUGAAGGAUGACUGCCCUAUGGGUUGUAAACUUCUUUUAUAAAGGAAUAAAACGAGGCACGUGUGCCUUUUUGCAUGUACUUUAUGAAUAAGGAUCGGCUAACUCCGUGCCAGCAGCCGCGGUAAUACGGAGGAUCCGAGCGUUAUCCGGAUUUAUUGGGUUUAAAGGGUGCGUAGAUGGGUUGUUAAGUCAGUUGUGAAAGGUUGCGGCUCAACCGUAAAAGUGCAAUUGAUACUGGCAGUCUUGAGUACAGUUGAGGUAGGCGGAAUUCGUGGUGUAGCGGUGAAAUGCUUAGAUAUCACGAAGAACCCCGAUUGCGAAGGCAGCUUACUAAACUGGGACUGACAUUGAUGCUCGAAAGUGUGGGUAUCAAACAGGAUUAGAUACCCUUGUAGUC
rnacentral:rRNA from 1 species